rnacentral:lncRNA from 1 species
UACCUUAUCUAUAUUUUUCUCACCAAGUAUACAAUCGCAACAUACUCUUAGAAACAAUUUAUUUCCCGAUGAAUUGAACUCAGAUCCAAUGUUUCCCCUAAUAGAAGGUGUAAGAAGCCAAAUAUUACUGCAGGAAAAGCAAGCCUUAUUCUUUGGAUAGCCUCAACCCUUUUUGCCUUUCCUGUAUACAUGACCAUGACAGCUUGGGGAGAGAAACACUGGCAGUUUGUAAAAUUGCUGGGCGUGACCUAUCUCCAUAGACUACUGGAAAACCUGAUUUUUGAGCUGCCUGAUUGGAAAUAAAAGAGACAAUAAGCUUCAAUCCAUACCACAAAGCUUAAAAAUUUAUGGGAGCUUUUGUGUAAGCAAUAACCAAUAACAAUCACGGAGCAGCUAUGCUAGUAAUUAGUUUCCUCUACCUUAACCACUCAAGGAUUAAGAUCAAAUGCAACAGAAGGCCAUAUACAUCCGACAAUGUCACAAUCUAGUCCAGAAGCCAAUGGAGUCACAGAAAAUUAGCGAGGACCUAUAUUUUGGAAGAUUAAAACUAUGUAGAACCCUC